AGAAAAGCCACCCAACCCAUGCUUUCAUGGGCUGCUUGGAGUAUGGGCCACUAGGGACCCUGGCAGGUGAGGAAGUUGAGGCUUUACCAUGCCAAAUCAUCACUGCUGCUGCUUUGAUUUGAUUUUCUGUGGAUAUACUGUGGCCAUCUAGUGGCUUCAGGAAUAUGGUGAUGUUACCUAGGGAAGGUACUUAAUGCAGAAAACAUGUUACGUUAGAAGAAGGGGAUAAGAAGAAUGAAAUAUACAGAUGUGCUUCUUAAAGGUUAGUGUUAUUUUCUCUUGGAAGUGUUGUGUAAAUAAUAUGUGAAUACACUUUACAACAGCAGGUAAAUAGCUCUUGCUGUGCCCUUUAACCUUGUUUGUUCCCAGUGUCUCCAUGAUUUAUUUAAUAUCCUGUUCAUAUUUCCUCAACAUUAGGUACCCUCUUCAUUGGGAAUCCCUUCUCAAUUUGUUACAAACAGGCUUGUUAAUUUACCAACAACAGCUUUUGAUAGAAAUCUCAGAUGACUUAGCUGUUUCCCAAACUUAAGAUUCCCUUCGCCACACUAGUACUCCCAUGGGACUUUGCUGGUUGUAUUUGUUUUGGAGUAAGUUAAAAGACAACUUAAAUGAACCUGAGAAAGUCUUAUGACUUUGUAAUACUUAAUUAGUAUUUACCUAGGGAACUGUGGAAUAACUGCAUCUUAACUUGGAAAUUUAAAAGAAUCUUUAAAUUUCCUUUCUGAACAAAUGCUAUAAACUAAAUAAAACCUUUUAUGGUCAGUGUCCUCCAUCAA